ACUCCUACGGGAGGCAGCAGUAGGGAAUAUUGGGCAAUGGGCGCAAGCCUGACCCAGCCAUGCCGCGUGCCGGAUGAAGGCGCUCAGCGUUGUAAACGGCUUUUAACUGGGAAGAAUGACAGGGGUCGCCCUUGUUUGCCGGUACCAGCGGAAUAAGCACCGGCUAACUCCGUGCCAGCAGCCGCGGUAAUACGGAGGGUGCAAGCGUUGUCCGGAUUUAUUGGGUUUAAAGGGUGCGUAGGUGGCCUGUUAAGUCUGGUUUGAAAGUCGGCGGCUCAACCGUUGGAUGUGGCUGGAAACUGGCGGGCUUGAAUGGAGUGGAGGUCACUGGAACGGGUCAUGUAGCGGUGAAAUGCAUAGAUAUGACCCAGAACCCCGAUUGCGAAGGCAGGUGACUACGUUCUGAUUGACACUGAGGCACGAGAGCAUGGGGAGCGAACAGGAUUAGAUACCCUGGUAGCUACG
rnacentral:rRNA from 1 species